GCUGAAAUAGGUUAGUUGGGAGAACAUUAGACUGAAAAAUCUAAAGGUCCCUGGUUCAAUCCCAGGUUUCCCUU
rnacentral:tRNA from 1 species